rnacentral:tRNA from 1 species
UAGAGCACACGCUUGAUAAGCGUGGGGUCACAAGUUCAAGUCUUGUCAGACCCACCA